GAGGAUGAACGCUGGCGGCGUGCCUAAUACAUGCAAGUCGAGCGAACAGACGAGGAGCUUGCUCCUUUGACGUUAGCGGCGGACGGGUGAGUAACACGUGGGUAACCUACCUAUAAGACUGGGAUAACUUCGGGAAACCGGAGCUAAUACCGGAUAAUAUUUCGAACUACAUGGUUCGAUAGUGAAAGAUGGCUUUGCUAUCACUUAUAGAUGGACCUGCGCCGUAUUAGCUAGUUGGUAAGGUAACGGCUUACCAAGGCAACGAUACGUAGCCGACCUGAGAGGGUGAUCGGCCACACUGGAACUGAGACACGGUCCAGACUCCUACGGGAGGCAGCAGUAGGGAAUCUUCCGCAAUGGGCGAAAGCCUGACGGAGCAACGCCGCGUGAGUGAUGAAGGUCUUCGGAUCGUAAAACUCUGUUAUUAGGGAAGAACAAACGUGUAAGUAACUGUGCACGUCUUGACGGUACCUAAUCAGAAAGCCACGGCUAACUACGUG
rnacentral:rRNA from 1 species